rnacentral:rRNA from 1 species
UACGUAGGGGGCGAGCGUUGUCCGGAUUUAUUGGGCGUAAAGAGCGUGUAGGCGGCCAGGUAGGUCUGGUGUGAAAACUCGAGGCUUAACCUCGAGAUGUCAUCGGAAACCAUCUGGCUAGAGUCCGGAAGAGGAGAGUGGAAUUCCUGGUGUAGCGGUGAAAUGCGCAGAUAUCAGGAAGAACACCAAUGGCGAAAGCAGCUCUCUGGGACGGUACUGACGCUGAGGCGCGAAAGCUAGGGGAGCAAACGGG